AGGACAUACCCUUCAGCAGUGGACUUUUAAUCCAUUGGUCGAUGGUUCAAGUCCAUCAUGACCCACCA
rnacentral:tRNA from 1 species